GUCCUCGGUAACGUGUACAUCUGUUCUCAGAGGAACUUGUGUAGUGGGAAGGCUUGUGGCUUUACAACCUGUACUGAAGGCUCUGUAGUCAAAGACAUCAUCUAGAGUUAUCCACUGCUCGUCUAGUCUUUUCUAGAAACUCAAAACGUAAGGAGACUUGAACAACUGAUCAGGGUCAUGGAUCCUCACCGAGAGCCACACCACUCACCGCAGAGUGAACCAACAGGAGACCCAGAAGAACUUACAGGUCAGCCA